AACGAACGCUGGCGGCAUGCCUAACACAUGCAAGUCGAACGAACCCUUCGGGGUUAGUGGCGCACGGGUGCGUAACACGUGGGAAUCUGCCCUUUGCUUCGGAAUAACAGUUAGAAAUGACUGCUAAUACCGGAUAAUGUCUUCGGACCAAAGAUUUAUCGGCAAAGGAUGAGCCCGCGUAGGAUUAGCUUGUUGGUGAGGUAAAGGCUCACCAAGGCGACGAUCCUUAGCUGGUCUGAGAGGAUGAUCAGCCACACUGGGACUGAGACACGGCCCAGACUCCUACGGGAGGCAGCAGUGGGGAAUAUUGGACAAUGGGCGAAAGCCUGAUCCAGCAAUGCCGCGUGAGUGAUGAAGGCCUUAGGGUUGUAAAGCUCUUUUACCAGGGAUGAUAAUGGCAGUACCUGGAGAAUAAGCUCCGGCUAACUCCGUG
rnacentral:rRNA from 1 species